GAAGGGGGCUAGCGUUGUUCGGAAUUACUGGGCGUAAAGCGCGCGCAGGCGGUUUUUCAAGCCAGUGGUGAAAGCCCGGAGCUCAACUCCGGAACUGCCAUUGAAACUGUGAAACUCGAGGAUGAGAGAGGUGAGUGGAAUUCCCAGUGUAGAGGUGAAAUUCGUAGAUAUUGGGAAGAACACCGGUGGCGAAGGCGGCUCACUGGCUCAUUUCUGACGCUCAGGCGCGACAGCGUGGGGAUCAAACAGGAUUAGAUACCCUGGUAGUCCACGCCGUAAACGAUGAAUGCUAGCCGUUGGGCAGCUUGCUGUUCAGUGGCGCAGCUAACGCAUUAAGCAUUCCGCCUGGGGAGUACGGCCGCAAGGUUG
rnacentral:rRNA from 1 species